rnacentral:rRNA from 1 species
GAUGAACGCUGGCGGCGUGCCUAAUACAUGCAAGUCGAGCGAACAGACGAGGCGCUUGCUCCUCUGACGUUAGCGACGGACGGGUGAGUAACACGUGGAUAACCUACCUAUAAGACUGGGGUAACUUCGGGAAACCGGAGCUAAUACCGGAUAAUAUAUUGAACCGCAUGGUUCUAUAGUGAAAGCCGGUUUUGCUGUCACUUAUAGAUGGAUCCUCGCCGCAUUAGCUAGUUGGUAAGGUAACGGCUUACCAAGGCUACGAUGCGUAGCCGACCUGAGAGGGUGAUCGGCCACACUGGAACUGAGACACGGUCCAGACUCCUGCGGGAGGCAGCAGUAGGGAAUCUUCCGCAAUGGGCGAAAGCCUGACGGAGCAACGCCGCGUGAGUGAUGAAGGUCUUCGGAUCGUAAAACUCUUUUAGUAGGGAAGAACAAAUGUAAGAGUAACUAUGCACGUCUUGACGGUACCUAAUCAGAAAGCCACGGCUAACUACGUG